rnacentral:rRNA from 1 species
AUUAACGUUGGUAGUAUGCCUAACACAUGCAAGUCGAAUGCGAAAGGUUUACUGAGUAGCAUGGCGAACGGGUGAGUAAUGCUUAUCUAACUUGCCAAUUAGUGGGGGAUAACCAUAGGAAGCUUUGGGCAAUACCGCAUUUGUUACAAAAGUAAUGAAAGGGAAGUAAGAUUCUCGCUAAUUGAGAGGGAUAAGUCGUAUCAGUUUGUUGGUGGGGUAAUGGCCUACCAAGACUAUGACGCGUAGCCAGGCUGAGAGGCUGAUUGGCCACAAGGAACUGAGACACGGUCCUACUCCUAAGGGAGGCAGCAGUGAGGAAUUUUCGGCAAUGGGGGCAACCCUGACCGAGCAAUACUACGUGAAGGAAGAAGGUCUAUGGAUUGUAAACUUCUUUACUUGGAUGUACAGUUCAAAGCUUGCAUCCGAGCAACAAGUCACGACUAACUACGUGCCAGCAGUCGCGGUAAGACGUAGGUGGCGAACGUUAUCCGGAAUUAUUGGGCGUAAAGGGUGCGUAGAUGGCAGGAUAAGUUAUUAGUGGGAAAUCGAGGCUCAACCUCGUGGAAACUAGUAAUACUGUUUUGCUUGAGUGCAGAAGAGGUUAACGGAAUGAUUCGUGGAGGGGUAAAAUCCACAGAUAUGAAUUAGAACAUCAAUAACGGCGAAGGCAGUUAACUAUUCUGUUGCUGACAUUGAGGCACGAAAGCGUGGGGAGCAAAACGGAUUAGAUACCCGUGUAGUCCACGCCCUAAACGAUGAGUACUAGAUAUUGGAAACUUGAUUUUCAGUGUCGCUAGUUAACACAGUAAGUACUCCGCCUGGGUAGUACGCUCGCAAGAGUGAAACUCAAAGGAAUUGACGGGGACUCGCACAAGCAGUGGAGCAUGUGGUUUAAUCCGAUACGACGCGUAGAACCUUACCAAGGCUUGACAUGUAAGGUAGCAAUACUAAAUUAGGGAAACCUAGUUGAAUUACACAGGUGCUGCAUGGCCGUCGUCAGUUCGUGCCGUGAGGUGUAUGGUUAAGUCCUAUAACGAACGCAACCCUUGGGUUUAGUUGCCAGCAUUUAGUUGGGGACUCUAGACCGACUGCCUAAGCAAUUAGGAGGAAGGAAAGGAUGACGUCUGGUCGUCAUGGCCCUUAUGCCUUGGGCGACACACGUGCUACAAUGGUUAAUACAAAGGGAUGCCAACCCGCGAGGGGGAGCCAAGCCCAAAAAAUUAACCUCAGUUCGGAUUGGAGGCUGCAACUCGCCUCCAUGAAGUCGGAAUUGCUAGUAAUCGUGAAUCAGCCAUGUCACGGUGAAUACGUUCUCGAGUCUUGUACACACCGCCCGUCAAAUCACGAAAGUCGGUAAUGCCUGAAACCAGUUAGUUAACCCGCAAGGGAUGCGGCUGACUAGGGUAGGAUUGGCGAUUGGGGUU